GCAACCUGCCCAAAAGAGGGGGAUAACACUUGGAAACAGGUGCUAAUACCGCAUAACCAUAGUUACCGCAUGGUAACUAUGUAAAAGGUGGCUAUGCUACCGCUUUUGGAUGGGCCCGCGGCGCAUUAGCUAGUUGGUGGGGUAAAGGCUUACCAAGGCAAUGAUGCGUAGCCGAACUGAGAGGUUGAUCGGCCACAUUGGGACUGAGACACGGCCCAAACUCCUACGGGAGGCAGCAGUAGGGAAUCUUCCACAAUGGGCGAAAGCCUGAUGGAGCAACGCCGCGUGGGUGAAGAAGGUCUUCGGAUCGUAAAACCCUGUUGUUAGAGAAGAAAGUGCGUGAGAGUAACUGUUCACGUUUCGACGGUAUCUAACCAGAAAGCCACGGCUAACUACGUGCCAGCAGCCGCGGUAAUACGUAGGUGGCAAGCGUUAUCCGGAUUUAUUGGGCGUAAAGGGAACGCAGGCGGUCUUUUAAGUCUGAUGUGAAAGCCUUCGGCUUAACCGGAGUAGUGCAUUGGAAACUGGGAGACUUGAGUGCAGAAGAGGAGAGUGGAACUCCAUGUGUAGCGGUGAAAUGCGUAGAUAUAUGGAAGAACACCAGUGGCGAAAGCGGCUCUCUGGUCUGUAACUGACGCUGAGGUUCGAAAGCGUGGGUAGCAAACAGGAUUAGAUACCCUGGUAGU
rnacentral:rRNA from 1 species